UACGUAGGGUGCGAGCGUUAAUCGGAAUUACUGGGCGUAAAGCGUGCGCAGGCGGUUUUGUAAGCCAGGUGUGAAAUCCCCGGGCUUAACCUGGGAAUGGCAUUUGGGACUGCAAGGCUGGAGUGCGGCAGAGGAGACUGGAAUUCCCGGUGUAGCAGUGAAAUGCGUAGAUAUCGGGAGGAAUACCGAUGGCGAAGGCAGGUCUCUGGGCUGACACUGACGCUCAUGCACGAAAGCGUGGGGAGCAAACAGG
rnacentral:rRNA from 1 species